rnacentral:lncRNA from 1 species
CUCAUUUUAUAGGAAAGGGCUGCAACCAUCCCCCAACCUGAAACUGGCUUGAAAGCUAUGGAUGAUCUAUCGAUCCAUCAGUGAAAUUAGAAUGGGAAUUUCCAACCAGCUCAUGAAAUGAAAUUGCAGUUGCCAUUAUUAGUGUUUUGAACAGUAUUUGCCCACUACUUUGUUUAGCAUAUGCAGUGUUAUAUAUAUGUUAGCUAUAAAUAGAUCUUAGAUGCUUGUGACGAGUACUAAUAAAACUUUUAAGGAUUUUGAUUUAUUUUGAAAGAUUUAAGGAUUUUGAUAGUGAGCUGUUAUAAGAGC